ensembl:lncRNA
CCAAGCGGUAGUGCUGUAGGGAGGUAGUUAAGGAAGGAGGGGUCCCUCAUCGGUGGAUUUCGUGCCUGUAUAAGAAACCAGUGCUUGUUCUCUUCCCACCAAAUGAGGACACGGGGAGAAGACAGUCACCUGUGGGUCAGGAGGAGAGGCCUCAGCAGGAGCCUGAUGUCCUUAGGAACUUUCAGGCUUCCCGACCUGUGAGAAAUAAGCAUUCCUUUUCUAGGAAUGUACUUCUCUUGUACUUCUCUUAUGGCAGCCUUAGUUGAUUAGGACACUGUGGAAAUCUUCCAUGAUUAAAUCAGUUCAAGUGUUUUGUGUCCAGAAUAUGCUGUGGUCCAGGAGUGGAGAUGCUGGCCAGAGAAGCAAAGGUCUCCAAAAUCAACACUUUCUUGGCCUGCAGGACCAUAGCAUUGACUGAACCCAGUGCCUUACUUUGCCAGGAAAGAAGGAGUGACAAUCCCUUUUGACAACAGCAAUGAACAAUGCUACUGGCUUUUGGAUGCUUCAAACUGAGGAAAGGAGAGAGGAUAAAAAGCAGGUGAAGGAAGAUGCACUAACAGUAUGAGCCAAUGAAGUGUUUGGAAUAAGAAAGCCCCUCAGACUUGGGCCUAGAUACAAGCAGGAAGAACAAGGAGGAAAGAAGCACAAGCAAAAGUCAGGCUCAAGGAAAAGACUGCAUGAUUCAAAGAGAUUACAAGACAAUACCUGGAAAUGGAAAGCAAGGAAGUAUAAAGUAACAAGUAUUACAG